rnacentral:rRNA from 1 species
GUGCCAGCCGCCGCGGUAAUACCGGCAGCUCAAGUGAUGUCCCAUAUUAUUGGGCCUAAAGCGUCCGUAGCUGGCCGAACAAGUCCGUCGGGAAAUCCACGUGCUUAACACGUGGGCGACCGGUAGAAACUGGCCGGCUUGGAACCGGAAGGCUCAGAGAGUACGUCCGGGGUAGGAGUGAAAUCCCGUAAUCCCGGACGGACUACCGAUGGCGAAAGCACUCUGAGAAGACGGCUUCGACAGUGAGGGACGAAAGCUCGGGUCUCAAACCGGAUUAGAAACCCCUGUAGUCC